rnacentral:rRNA from 1 species
CGUACACUCCUACGGGAGGCAGCAGUGGGGAAUAUUGGACAAUGGGCGCAAGCCUGAUCCAGCCAUGCCGCGUGAGUGAUGAAGGCCCUAGGGUUGUAAAGCUCUUUCACCGGUGAAGAUAAUGACGGUAACCGGAGAAGAAGCCCCGGCUAACUUCGUGCCAGCAGCCGCGGUAAUACGAAGGGGGCUAGCGUUGUUCGGAUUUACUGGGCGUAAAGCGCACGUAGGCGGACUAUUAAGUCAGGGGUGAAAUCCCGGGGCUCAACCCCGGAACUGCCUUUGAUACUGGUAGUCUUGAGUUCGAGAGAGGUGAGUGGAAUUCCGAGUGGAGAGGUGAAAUUCGUAGAUAUUCGGAGGAACACCAGUGGCGAAGGCGGCUCACUGGCUCGAUACUGACGCUGAGGUGCGAAAGCGUGGGGAGCAAACAGGAUUAGAUACCCGAGUAGUCCC